GAUGAACGCUGGCGGCGUGCCUAAUACAUGCAAGUCGAGCGAACAGACGAGGAGCUUGCUCCUCUGACGUUAGCGGCGGACGGGUGAGUAACACGUGGAUAACCUACCUAUAAGACUGGGAUAACUUCGGGAAACCGGAGCUAAUACCGGAUAAUAUAUUGAACCGCAUGGUUCAAUAGUGAAAGACGGUUUUGCUGUCACUUAUAGAUGGAUCCGCGCCGCAUUAGCUAGUUGGUAAGGUAACGGCUUACCAAGGCGACGAUGCGUAGCCGACCUGAGGGGGUGAUCGGCCACACUGGAACUGAGACACGGUCCAGACUCCUACGGGAGGCAGCAGUAUGGAAUCUUCCGCAAUGGGCGAAAGCCUGACGGAGCAACGCCGCGUGAGUGAUGAAGGUCUUCGGAUCGUAAAACUCUGUUAUUAGGGAAGAACAAAUGUGUAAGUAACUAUGCACGUCUUGACGGUACCUAAUCAGAAAGCCACGGCUAACUACGUG
rnacentral:rRNA from 1 species